rnacentral:lncRNA from 1 species
UAUAAAUAGAGGAAGUGGCACGUGGCUUAUGCUGGUAUGUGGGUUGGCAUGGCGUGUGACUUUUUGGUGUUGGGAUCAAGUGCUGGUAAGGUGUGGGAAUUGGAUGCAGAUGUUGGACCAAGAGCUGAGAGAUUUAAAUGCAUAGCUGACAAGUUAAUAAAAACGGCAUCCAUGCGAUUUGUGCACGAGUUAGGAGCUUGCAAUGAAGACGUUAUGAAGCAAGCAAAACUAAUGCAGGAGCUACAGAACAGAUGUGAGAACAUGGUGCAGAAGCAUUUACGUGACUCGGAUGCGGCUUGGAGCUUUAUUAAAAGAAAAACCACAAGAGCGA